rnacentral:rRNA from 1 species
GACGAACGCUGGCGGCGUGCUUAACACAUGCAAGUCGAACGGAAAGGCCCUGCUUGCAGGGUACUCGAGUGGCGAACGGGUGAGUAAGACGGGGGUGAUCUGCCCUGCACUUCGGGAUAAGGUUGGGAAACUGGGUCUAAUACCGGAUAGGAACCAUCUUUAGUGUGGGGGUUGGAAAGUUUUUUGGGUGUAGGAUGAGCUCGCGGCCUAUCAGCUUGUUGGUGGGGUAAUGGGCUACCAAGGCGGCGACGGGUAGCCGGCCUGAGAGGGUGUGCGGCCACCUUGGGACUGAGAUACGGCCCAGACUCCUACGGGAGGCAGCAGUGGGGAAUAUUGAACAAUGGGCGCAAGCCUGAUGCAGCGACGCCGCGUGGGGGAUGAAGGCCUUCGGGUUGUAAACUCCUUUCGCUAGGGACGAAGCUUUUUGUGACGGUACCUAGAUAAGAAGCACCGGCUAACUACGUG